UAGUAUAUUUUCCCUCAAGUUUGAAUAUCAAGUAACGGCUUACUUAAAUGAUUGACUGUUACUUUUAGUCAACGGUUUUUUUUGUUUUUGGUUUAGUUUGGUGUUUUAAUCAACUCUAAUUGAUUGUAAACCUUUUUUGAAGUUUUACUUUUACCUGUUUUGCAAAUUCAAUUCAUCACUAGUUAUGUUCAAACUUUUGAUUAGUGUCAAUCAAGUCGUGUUUAGACUUGCUUCUAACCAGCAUUACCUUAUGUGUGCUCAAAGGUCUCUUUGGGUGAAGCAACUCUUGACUCUUCAAUCAAUUUGGUGUGGAAAGUUUGUCGUUUCAAGUAGGAGUGUAACUCUGAUUGAUUAAGUAAACUCUAAAGACUGAUUACCUUGAUUUUUUUAUCAACCAAAUGGCUAGUUUUAAAGAUUGGUAUAGCUGGAAAGGUGAAACCUCUUACUCGAUCAAUUAAUGGCCAAAAUAUAUAAAUUAAGCUGAUUAACUCAACAGGAAUCUAUAGUUUUGAACCUGAGUUUAACCUGCUUUUCUCCUCAAGUAAUGGUUAUUAUAUGGUUUAAAAGUGAACAAUUGAAAUGUAUCUUUUACCUUUCUACUGAAUUAUGUUCACUAACAUCCACAAUUCCCUCAAGAAGUUUCAUAUUUUUAUCUUCAUCUUCACAAGUUGGAACAUUAUGAUGCUCUUUGAUGAUUAAUUUUACCUUGGAAACAAACUUAUAAAAAGAUCAUGAGCAAAGGCUUACCUCUUCAUCUAUCUUAUCAUCAUCAUCACCAUUCUCAUCUUUAACGUUGUCUUCAUUCUUAUUCUUAUUCUCAUCAUUUCUAGCUUUUCUUCUGUUAGCAAGUAUAAUGAUAAUGAUGAUAACAAUACUUAUAUGAUGAUUGAAUAACGAUGAAAGGUAUUUUUACUCAGUGAUUGUCAAUGAAAACUAUGUUUUUAAUGAUACACUUACUUGGAUGCAGAUCCUUCUUAUUCUUCCAUUGGCCGGAUAAAGACAUCUUCGUCUUUCAACCAACUUUAAGGAUUGGACGUAACAAGCAUGGGAAUUAAAGUAUUAAUGAUAACAUUUUUUUCACUUAGACACCAACAACCAUUAAAUGGAUGUUUAUCUUAAAGCUUGUCCAUCUUCAUUUUCUUCAUGGUAUCAAGUGCUAAGACUGAAUCAAUCAUCUGGCAGACAUUUUGUUUUGAAGCCCACGGCAGUUGAAGCUAAACAUUUUGAAUUGCCCUACAACUGUGGUUAAAGCCAAUGAUCUAUCAAAUUGCUCCACGAUAAUUAUGGAAAAUGAUUUGUAUUGGCAGAAAAUUCAACUUCAAUCUAUUAAUCUGACUGUUACCCGGAUCCCUUCAACAAAGGUUGCUCAUUGUAUGCCUUAUGAAGCCAUUACCAGGACAAUUGGUAAUCAAUUAACCAAAUAAUUAGAGAAAGCAAACUGAAAGCCGGCAUAAUUAAUUUUUACUCUUUUGCUCAGCUUGAAUCAGAAUUUUGAGGUUGACUAAACAAUGAUUAGUUAAAUGGUCCAUGUAUCUUGAAUCAUUUAACUUGAUUAACUUGAUAAGAUUGAAUAAAAAUUUUGAUUUCAUCUCAAUACUCA